AAGUCGUAACAAGGUUUCCGUAGGUGAACCUGCGGAAGGAUCAUUAUCAACGUUAUCCACGUUAACCAACUGUGAAUCUGUUUGCUCCCUUCGGGUUUGAGCAACCCUGUACUUAGGAUUCUUUCCUUUUUACAGGUGGUUUUUAAUUAAACCUAUCAUUAACCAAUUGAACCCUUUGCUAAUACACUUAUGUGCUUAUUUAUGUGUUUCUUUACCCCUUCACAAGAGGGGAAAGAAAUCAAUAAUAUACGAAACAUAAGAACAACUCUUAGCAACGGAUAUCUUGGUUCUC
rnacentral:misc_RNA from 1 species